UAUGUUUUGAUGCUUUGUGAUAAAGCAGAGGCAUAGAGUGAGAAGAAGGGCAAAGUUACAGCAUAUCUCUGUAACCUGGAGAAAGUGCUCUCACAUAUUCAGACCCUAGUGCCACAACGUGUAAAAUAUUGCUGCAGUCGAUACCUUUUUGGAGUUGUCCUCGCUUCCUCUUACUUAUUUGUCCUGUCCUGCACUUGUGUUGUUCUUUGACACUCGCACCGUCUCCGUCCCUGUGGACUGUCCUAAGCCUUGCUCAGGAUAUCUGACUCUCUAAAGCCAUGGCCUGAGCUCCCGGGGAGAAAACGGGAGAAUGAGAGAGGGGUUGAUCUGGUCUCUAAUCCACCUCGUCUUAAAGCAUAGGAGGGAAACUGCAGUCCUCUUUGAAUGUGACUGCCUGAACCCUCUGGUGUCCUGAUCACUAAUCUGGGACAUUGUCUCAAAUGGUGUAGGAAACAUUAUUCUGAAUAUCACAGCUAACUAAGUCCGACUGACACACUGGGGUGAAUUAUAUUGUUUUCAGAGACUUAAUGCGUGUGUGUGUAUGUUUGAGAUAUGUAUGUAUUGUACAUGUAGAUCAUCACUUUUAGUCUUCAUUGGUAGUUGCUGUUAUCAUAUACAAUAUCUCCAUAGUCUGUGGUGUAUAGCUCCUCAACGCACCUCUCCACCUUGACUAACUUUUCCAGGCAUUCAUUAGCGGACUGGCUGAAGUUUGGAGGGUAUGAAGCAGGCUGGCAGAUGACCCCCUAUAAAGUAGCACACCUCAGUGGCGUUUGGUGCGAGAAGUGCAAAACAACAAAGAAGUGUUUGUUUGCAUAAUAUUAGCACUGCACACUUGCACACAGUGGCGGGGGCCUGACUGCGGGACUGACUGGAGGCCUCCCAUGAACACAGGUGGAGCAGGGCGAGCAUCACUGGGACCAAUUAGAGCAGAGCACAGAACAGUCAGAGCAGAGCAGGAGCACCGGAGCAUCGGAAGACAUCAAACCAUUGUGAAAGUGAG